rnacentral:sRNA from 1 species
AGCCUCUAACGUCUACACACUCCAGGAAAUAUUAUCUACUGGAGGAUUAUGGUCAUUAUGUACAUAUCUUAAAUGAAACGUGACAAUCCACGGUAUGCUGCAGGAAGUUCAGUUGGGAAGCAGACAACGGCAUAAUUAAAGGACUCUCAGCUGAGUUAGAAAGGCAGAGCACAGGUCCAGAAAGAGAAGCUGUGGUCCACUGACCCUUUGCAAGUCAAGAAGGUAUUUUUCAUCCCUUGUUUUUUCAAAAUGAUACCUGAAUUUCAAAUUUCACAGUGUGGGUUGAUUUCUCACUGUCAUCAGUUUCAAUUAUAGCAGAUUCUGCACCAAAGCCAUGGUUGUUAUGCAUCAUACUCUCAUGACUGGGAAAACUAGGACUCCAUCUGCAUUUCAUGUUAUAAUGUCCAAUCUUCUUCCAGCAAACAUUUAGCUCUUGCAGAGCUUUAAGAACUUCAGUUAUUAUUUCUCGUGGAUGUGCUCGAGACUACCAAGGGCCCAUUUCCUGUCAGCUGCGAAAUGAUGCCUCAAGCCAAACCCAGGAGAUUCCAUAUGCCCAUGCUGCCGAUGAUCAGUGGCUGAGUUUGGUGUCUCAGCUGGAAGAGAGAGAUGAGUUGACAUACCAUAGAUUCAUGGAACUCAGCUCCAAGGUAGCCACUGGUUGUGCGCAGCCUAUUGUCCAAUAGUAAAUAGUAGGCAACUCAAACACCUCGUUUUGCAGUCUCUUGUGAAGUGAUUCGAUUAGCUGAUUCUUGUCAAACCCCAUAUUGAUAACAUCAUUCAGAGUUUCAUCCAUGUUACCUUUUUAACCUGUUGUGCAGUGUCAGGAGGUGGCACAGCUAAAUAACGCGGAAGACCAACUGUGAACCACUGAUGUUCACGGAUUUCACGUAUGGUGAUCCUCUUCAUGGGAUCAACAACAAGCAUUCUGGGAAUCAAAUCCCUUGCCAAAGGUGACAAAUGACUGGGAAGGGAUAUAUCACAUCUUUGCUAACCUUUAUUUUCUUAAAAAGGUUGGGAAUAUUCUCGUCAUCAAAUGGAAGGGUACCACAAAGAAGAGCAUAAAGAAUAACACCACAACUCCACACAUCAACUUCAGGGCCAGCAUAUAGUUUACCAGAUAUCACCUAGUGCUGCAUAAUUUGGGCUACCACAACUUGUCUUCAGAAAGUGACCAUCACGCAUAACAUUACUCAAGCCAAAGUCUGCAAUCUUAACAUUGCAUUUGGAGUCCAAAAGAAGGUUCUCUGGCUUAAGAUCACGAUGAACCACCAUGUUUCUAUGGCAAUAUUCAACACCAGAUAUGAUCUGCUGGAAAAAGCGUCGAGCUUCUUCCUCUUGCAGUCUUCCCUUCUCAACGAUGUAAUCAAACAACUCUCCAGAUUUGACAUACUCCAUAACAACAUAAAUAUCAGCUGGGGUGUCUAUCACCUCAUAAAGGCGAAUGAUAUGUGGGUGCAUAAAUAAUCUAAGUAUCUUGAUUUCUCUUUUAACUUUCUCUUCCAUCUCCAUGCUCUUGAUCUUACGGCGAUUGAGGAUCUUGAUUGCCACCUUGUGACCAGUCAAUAUAUGCUCCGCGAUCUUCACUUUGCCAAAUGACCCAAUCCCUAGGGUUUUGCCAAUCCGGUAACCGCCAAGAGGGUUCCCAUCUCUGCCAGCUCCCUCCAUCUUCUACCUAAGGGGGGGGGGCUCCUACCUGACCUCCGGCGCGCCGCGGACGAGGGGGAGGGGCGGCGGCGAGCAGG